rnacentral:rRNA from 1 species
CAGGACGAACGCUGGCGGCGUGCUUAACACAUGCAAGUCGAACGGUAAGGCCCUUCGGGGUACACGAGUGGCGAACGGGUGAGUAACACGUGGGUGAUCUGCCCUGCACUUCGGGAUAAGCCUGGGAAACUGGGUCUAAUACCGGAUAGGACCAUGGACUUCACGGUUUGUGGUGGAAAGCUUUUGCGGUGUGGGAUGGGCCCGCGGCCUAUCAGCUUGUUGGUGGGGUAAUGGCCUACCAAGGCGACGACGGGUAGCCGGCCUGAGAGGGUGUCCGGCCACACUGGGACUGAGAUACGGCCCAGACUCCUACGGGAGGCAGCAGUGGGGAAUAUUGCACAAUGGGCGCAAGCCUGAUGCAGCGACGCCGCGUGAGGGAUGACGGCCUUCGGGUUGUAAACCUCUUUCAAUAGGGACGAAGCGCAAGUGACGGUACCUAUAGAAGAAGCACCGGCCAACUACGUG